GCUUGUCUCAAAGAUUAAGCCAUGCAUGUCUAAGUAUAAGCAUUAUACAGUGAAACUGCGAAUGGCUCAUUAUAUCAGUUAUAGUUUAUUUGAUAGUCCCUACUAUUUGGAUAACCGUAGUAAUUCUAGAGCUAAUACAUGCAUAAAGCAGUCUCACGGCUGCGUAUUUAUUAGAUACAAUCAGCCCCCUCGGGGUCAUGAUGAAUCAUAAUAACUGAACGAAGCGCAUGCUCACGCGGCGCUGUUUCAUUCAAGUUUCUGCCCUAUCAGCUUUCGAUGGUAGGGUAUUGGCCUACCAUGGCGUUAACGGGUAACGGAGAAUUAGGGUUCGAUUCCGGAGAGGGAGCCUGAGAGAUGGCUACCACAUCCAAGGAAGGCAGCAGG
rnacentral:rRNA from 1 species